rfam:Solanum tuberosum cultivar DM 1-3 516 R44 scf00361_26, whole genome shotgun sequence.
AGGGAUGUGGUGCAGCUUGGUAGCGCGUUUGUUUUGGGUACAAAAUGUCACGGGUUCAAAUCCUGUCAUCCCUA